GCUGUCUCCAUGAGCGUGCAUGCUCAGAUUGUGGUACCUUUUUGAAGAGCAGGGAGUCGUCCAUGUGCUCUGCGUAGACUGAGGUGAGUCUGUACUGGUUCUCGGUGGU